rnacentral:rRNA from 1 species
AACGAACGCUGGCGGCGUGCCUAAUACAUGCAAGUCGAGCGGAUGAAAGAGGAGCUUGCUCCUCUAGAUUCAGCGGCGGACGGGUGAGUAACACGUGGGCAACCUGCCCUGUAGAUUGGGAUAACUCCGGGAAACCGGGGCUAAUACCGAAUAAUCCUUCGGACCUCAUGGUCCGAUGUUGAAAGACGGUUUCGGCUGUCACUACAGGAUGGGCCCGCGGCGCAUUAGCUAGUUGGUGAGGUAACGGCUCACCAAGGCCACGAUGCGUAGCCGACCUGAGAGGGUGAUCGGCCACACUGGGACUGAGACACGGCCCAGACUCCUACGGGGGGCAGCAGUAGGGAAUCUUCCACAAUGGACGAAAGUCUGAUGGAGCAACGCCGCGUGAGUGAAGAAGGUUCUCGGAUCGUAAAACUCUGUUGUGAGGGAAGAACAAGUACCGGAGUAACUGCCGGUGCCUUGACGGUACCUCAUUAGAAAGCCACGGCUAACUACGUGCCAGCCGCCGCAGUAA